GUUUGUGGCUCAGUGGUAGAGUGCUCGCCUGACACACGUGAGGCACUGGGUUCCAUCCUCAGUAACACA
rnacentral:tRNA from 1 species